rnacentral:rRNA from 1 species
GCUUACACAUGCAGGUCGAACGGUAAGGCCCUUCGGGGUACACGAGUGGCGAACGGGUGAGUAACACGUGGGUGAUCUGCCCUGCACUCUGGGAUAAGCCUGGGAAACUGGGUCUAAUACCGGAUAGGAGCUCCUGUCGCAUGGCGGGGGUUGGAAAGGUUUACUGGUGCAGGAUGGGCCCGCGGCCUAUCAGCUUGUUGGUGGGGUAAUGGCCUACCAAGGCGACGACGGGUAGCCGGCCUGAGAGGGCGACCGGCCACACUGGGACUGAGACACGGCCCAGACUCCUACGGGAGGCAGCAGUGGGGAAUAUUGCACAAUGGGCGAAAGCCUGAUGCAGCGACGCCGCGUGAGGGAUGACGGCCUUCGGGUUGUAAACCUCUUUCAGCAGGGACGAAGCGAGAGUGACGGUACCUGCAGAAGAAGCACCGGCCAACUACGUGCCAGCAGCCGCGGUAAUACGUAGGGUGCGAGCGUUGUCCGGAAUUACUGGGCGUAAAGAGCUCGUAGGCGGUUUGUCGCGUCGUCCGUGAAAACUUGGGGCUCAACCCCAAGCUUGCGGGCGAUACGGGCAGACUUGAGUACUGCAGGGGAGACUGGAAUUCCUGGUGUAGCGGUGAAAUGCGCAGAUAUCAGGAGGAACACCGGUGGCGAAGGCGGGUCUCUGGGCAGUAACUGACGCUGAGGAGCGAAAGCGUGG